GGGUAGCACCGGGUUCGAUUGCCGGUGCGCGGAAAGGUAAGCACGCAGAGGAACGAGUGGCCUCUAUAAAACAUUCGGCUUAAAUUUAAAUGCAGAUAACAAUGCAAACUACAGCGCGAACACUCAGCUCGCGUACGCUGCUUAAUUUAGGUUAAGCGGUUCGUCUGUCUCUUUUUCCCGUCGGAAGGGAACGGGCGUCAACAAAGGCGGGGAACUGUCGUUUUGAUGUGAAGUCGACAAGGCGGCGGAUUUAAGAUUUCUGCCGAUACGCACUUUCGGUCGCAGAGGCGCGUAUCGUAAGACAAUUGCGGCAUAAGCGUGUAGAAAGCCUUUUGGCAAUCCGGUAAGACGCGAGUUCAAUUCUCGCCUACUCCACCA
rnacentral:tmRNA from 1 species